rnacentral:rRNA from 1 species
GGGUUGUGAGGUUAAGCGACUAAGCGUACACGGUGGAUGCCCGGCAGUCAGAGGCGAUGAAGGGCGUGCUAAUCUGCGAUAAGCGCCGGUAAGGUGAUAUGAACCGUUAUAACCGGCGAUACCCGAAUGGGGAAACCCAGUGUGAUUCGUCACACUAUCAUUAACUGAAUCCAUAGGUUAAUGAGGCGAACCGGGGGAACUGAAACAUCUAAGUACCCCGAGGAAAAGAAAUCAACCGAGAUUCCCCCAGUAGCGGCGAGCGAACGGGGAGGAGCCCAGAGCCUGAAUCAGCAUGUGUGUUAGUGGAAGCGUCUGGAAAGGCGCGCGAUACAGGGUGACAGCCCGUACACAAAAGCGCAUGUGCUGUGAGCUCGAUGAGUAGGGCGGGACACGUGGUAUCCUGUCUGAAUAUGGGGGACCAUCCUCCAAGGCUAAAUACUCCUGACUGACCGAUAGUGAACCAGUACCGUGAGGAAAGGCGAAAAGAACCCCGGCGAGGGAGUGAAAAAGAACCUGAAACCGUGUACGUACAAGCAGUGGGAGCACCCUUCGGGGUGUGACUGCGUACCUUUGUAUAAUGGGUCAGCGACUUAUAUUCUGUAGCAAGGUUAACCGUAUAGGGGAGCCGCAGGAAACCGAGUCUUAACCGGGCGUUAAGUUGCAGGGUAUAGACCCGAAACCCGGUGAUCUAGCCAUGGGCAGGUUGAAGGUUGGGUAACACUAACUGGAGGACCGAACCGACUAAUGUUGAAAAAUUAGCGGAUGACCUGUGGCUGGGGGUGAAAGGCCAAUCAAACCGGGAGAUAGCUGGUUCUCCCCGAAAGCUAUUUAGGUAGCGCCUCGUGAAUUCAUCUCCGGGGUAGAGCACUGUUUCGGCUAGGGGCCAUCCCGGCUUACCAACCCGAUGCAAACUGCGAAUACCGGAGAAUGUUAUCACGGGAGACACACGGCGGGUGCUAACGUCCGUCGUGAAGAGGGAAACAACCCAGACCGCCAGCUAAGGUCCCAAAGUCAUGGUUAAGUGGGAAACGAUGUGGGAAGGCCCAGACAGCCAGGAUGUUGGCUUAGAAGCAGCCAUCAUUUAAAGAAAGCGUAAUAGCUCACUGGUCGAGUCGGCCUGCGCGGAAGAUGUAACGGGCUAAACCAUGCACCGAAGCUGCGGCAGCGACGCUUAUGCGUUGUUGGGUAGGGGAGCGUUCUGUAAGCCUGCGAAGGUGGCCUGUGAGGGUUGCUGGAGGUAUCAGAAGUGCGAAUGCUGACAUAAGUAACGAUAAAGCGGGUGAAAAGCCCGCUCGCCGGAAGACCAAGGGUUCCUGUCCAACGUUAAUCGGGGCAGGGUGAGUCGACCCCUAAGGCGAGGCCGAAAGGCGUAGUCGAUGGAAACGGGUUAAUAUUCCCGUACUUGGUGUUACUGCGAAGGGGGGACGGAGAAGGCUAUGUUGGCCGGGCGACGGUUGUCCCGGUUUAAGCGUGUAGGUGUGUGUUCCAGGUAAAUCCGGUUCACUUUAACACUGAGGCGUGACGACGAGGCACUACGGUGCUGAAGCAACAAAUGCCCUGCUUCCAGGAAAAGCCUCUAAGCAUCAGGUAACAUCAAAUCGUACCCCAAACCGACACAGGUGGUCAGGUAGAGAAUACCAAGGCGCUUGAGAGAACUCGGGUGAAGGAACUAGGCAAAAUGGUGCCGUAACUUCGGGAGAAGGCACGCUGACACGUAGGUGAAGUGAUUUACUCAUGGAGCUGAAGUCAGUCGAAGAUACCAGCUGGCUGCAACUGUUUAUUAAAAACACAGCACUGUGCAAACACGAAAGUGGACGUAUACGGUGUGACGCCUGCCCGGUGCCGGAAGGUUAAUUGAUGGGGUCAGCGCAAGCGAAGCUCCUGAUCGAAGCCCCGGUAAACGGCGGCCGUAACUAUAACGGUCCUAAGGUAGCGAAAUUCCUUGUCGGGUAAGUUCCGACCUGCACGAAUGGCGUAAUGAUGGCGGGCUGUCUCCACCCGAGACUCAGUGAAAUUGAACUCGCUGUGAAGAUGCAGUGUACCCGCGGCAAGACGGAAAGACCCCGUGAACCUUUACUAUAGCUUGACACUGAACAUUGAGCCUUGAUGUGUAGGAUAGGUGGGAGGCUUUGAAGUGUGGACGCCAGUCUGCAUGGAGCCGACCUUGAAAUACCACCCUUUAAUGUUUGAUGUUCUAACGUGGACCCGUAAUCCGGGUUGCGGACAGUGUCUGGUGGGUAGUUUGACUGGGGCGGUCUCCUCCUAAAGAGUAACGGAGGAGCACGAAGGUUGGCUAAUCCGGUCGGACAUCAGGAGGUUAGUGCAAUGGCAUAAGCCAGCUUGACUGCGAGCGUGACGGCGCGAGCAGGUGCAAGCAGGUCAUAGUGAUCCGGUGGUUCUGAAUGGAAGGGCCAUCGCUCAACGGAUAAAAGGUACUCCGGGGAUAACAGGCUGAUACCGCCCAAGAGUUCAUAUCGACGGCGGUGUUUGGCACCUCGAUGUCGGCUCAUCACAUCCGGGGGUGAAGUAGGUCCCAAGGGUAUGGCUGUUCGCCAUUUAAAGUGGUACGCGAGCUGGGUUUAGAACGUCGUGAGACAGUUCGGUCCCUAUCUGCCGUGGGCGCUGGAGAACUGAGGGGGCUGCUCCUAGUACGAGAGGACCGGAGUGGACGCAUCACUGGUGUUCGGGUUGUCAUGCCAAUGGCACUGCCCGGUAGCUAAAUGCGGAAGAGAUAAGUGCUGAAAGCAUCUAAGCACGAAACUUGCCCCGAGAUGAGUUCUCCCUGAGACUUAGAGUCUCCUGAAGGAACGUUGAAGACGACGACGUUGAUAGGCCGGGUGUGUAAGCGCAGCGAUGCGUUGAGCUAACCGGUACUAAUGAACCGUGAGGCUUAACCUUACAACGCCGAAG